ensembl:lncRNA
GGGGCGGGGCCGGGCCGGGCAGAUUCUUUCUGUGUCCGUUCGGUUGGGUGGGAACUCAGCAGUUCGGGCCUCCGGGAGUGAGGUCCUCUGGGGGUGUUGGACUGAGUGGGACUGUUCGCCAGGCCUCGCCCAGCCUCGCAGGCUGCCAGGACAAAGUCACACCCCAGCUCUGCUGAGAGCAAUUGGCUCAGUCCACAGCACGAGGACCAUGCCCGUGACGCGGGGUUAUUGGGACAUCCGCGGGGAGAGACUGAGGCCAGACUUCCUGGAACAACUCCCUGGAAAAAUGAAGCUCUUCUCUGAGUUCCUGGGAAAACAGCAAUGGUUCGUUGGUGACAAGUUAAGAGGUUCCAGCUGCCCUUGGAAAAACAUGACCUGAGAUGCACAGGCUUGCUUUGCUUGGCUACAAGGCAGCAAUUUCUGGGAUGGCAGCAAGAUCAUGGAUUGUGG